UUUUGCAAUGUAUUGGUGUGUUCUUGUGCCUUUUGGCAUCAGGACUGGCAUGGAAAAGAACAAUUUGGUAAUAUCCCUCACUUGCACACUUCAUCAGCAGAACCAUAGGCAUAGAGGCCAUUCAAGGCUCAAUUUUUUCCCCCCUUCUCUUGGAACCCUGCAGUUCUAAUAACUUGCAGGCUUCCCAGCCCAAUGCAUCAUAUGUAUGGGCAUCUGGAACAAUGGGAUUGAAUAAGUUACCAGAGGAUUAGAAUACUAUAUAUUACAUGUGGUUUCCUUUCAUUUUCCUUCUGUUGGGUUUUUUUGUAUAUAUAGAAUAAAUUAGGAUCAUAUUUCCAAGCAUUCCUCUGAGGUUUUGAAGAUUAAAAACUCUUCACUGGAAGCAGAUCUUGCAUGACCAUCUGGCCAUUGAAGCUGGCGGUGGGAAGGAGACAUGAGCUGAUAGCACUGUCACUUAUAAAAGCAGCCCUUCAAAUGGUAUGUUGACACAGAUGCUGAGUAAGAAGAAACAAAGAAAGGACGCCAGCUUUUGGAACUGCACUGAGAAAGUGGAGUGAUAGCAAAUCCUCUGGAUAUCAACAGCAGUACGUGGACCCCACUGGCUGCACUCCUGAUCUCCCCAAUAGACCAAUUCUCCAACAGCAUGGGAAGAACAGAUAAAAUGAAGUCUAUUUGUGUGCAUCCAGGAUUUUCAAUAUGGAGAUCAGAUCCUCUAGCUCUUGAGCUAAAGAUAUAACAUUUUGCCUCACAGUGGCAGUAAGACAUUAUCCUCUUAAGGGCACAUACCUACUAAAGUGAUAUUUCUACUUGCUGUUAUAAAAAAAAAAAAAAAUCAUCUCUGGAUUCUCUGGUCAGAGGUCUGCCCUAACUUUCAUCUGUAGUAUCACCUCUUUCAACAACUGGUAUUGAUAAUUCUCUGCAUUUCACAGCCCUUUUUUGAAAAACUCUCAACUUGCCAGAGUACAGAUGAAAAUACAUUGGUUUCUUCUCAUAUGGAUGCUGUUAUUAUAUACAGCAGGGGCAUCAAACAUUGCCUAUAGGCCAGAACCUGUCCAUGGAGCUACUCCUUUUGGCCCACAAGGCUCAUAGUGGGCCAGGAAAUGUGGGGGUGGACCUAGCAGGGGUGUGAGGCCUGACAGUAUCCAGGCCUAAGGCAGCCCAUAAGGUAUGUUCAACAGAAGUAGAAAAGUGAGUAAAGGCUUGGCCAAGACUGACAUACUUGAGCUGCUGCCACUAGCCAGCAAAAUUCGGCUAGAAUUUUGGACAGGUUUUAUCUACAGGCAAGAAUUUACUAAUCCACACCAUUUAAGAAUUACUUAGUAAUGUUUUUCAAAUGCAGAAUUUCAGAUUUGUGGACAAUACUAGACGAUUGAAGAAGUAGAGUUUUCCUGAAUGUAAAUAUGAGUUAUGGAAAUAGUUAUGGUUUGAGUUGUUUGUUUUUUGCAGGGGAAACUUUUGCAACAAACCUUGAUUUCUGUGAAUAUGUAAUGCAGAUGACUAAUGUUAGCUGUAGGUUGCUCAAAACUAUUUACUUGGAUUAUUCAUAAUUUUCCAUGUAGUUGUAUGUAUAUUUUCUAAGUUAAUCACUGAAACUUCUUAAAGAGAAGGAUAAGGAAUAAGAAAGAAAAAAAUAAUAUUCUUGGUGGUGCUGGGCAAGAGGAUCCUGGAUUCUGAUCCCUUUUCUAGUCUAGAACCACAUCCUGACAAUUGUAUAGCCUGUGAUUAGAAAUCAUGUGGAAAGCAUGAGUUUUGAGUUCCUCAGUUUGAGGUAGUCAGAGAAUACAGGUCACUUCCUGAGACAGUUCUCUAUCCUUUGGCCCAGGGUUGUCCAACUUCAGAGAGGUCAGGGGCUACACAUAAUGAGGGCUGCACCUGCUCCCACUGAGUCAUGCCAUGCAGGUGCCCCCUCUGCACUGCACCAUGCUGUACAGGUGUGCCAACCAGCAUCUUAAGUGAAAGUGAAUGCCAUAUGAAGAGCAGCUAUCACCUACACAGAAUGUGUAAGCAAAAACGUUCCCAAAUAAAGAACUUUAAUGGGCAUAAAUACACUUAAAGAAAUAAGCAUAGAUUUCUUCUACUUAAAAUUACAAAAAUGUAUGCUUUCAGUCUUAAUAUGACAUAGAAAAUAUAAAAAAUAGCAAUAAACUGUCAUAGUAUUUGACUAAUGUUAUGGCAAUAAAACUAUGGCAACUAAUGGUUCAUUACCAGGGAUCCUGGUUUUCCAUAAUAAAAAUUGCAAAUUCUCUGAUAAACCCCCCCAAAUCCAUGAUUGAAAUGAAACACCACUCUAUAUAGGUAUCGACUGAACACAACGUAUUAUUGAUUAUAUUUACGAUUUUAAAGCAAUUUGGAAGCCUACCAGUGCCUCAAUCACUAUAGUAAAAUAAAUUCUAAGUAACUAUAUAUUUUGGUGUUUGAUAUUGGGCUUUUUAUCAUGAAAAAUCAGAGGUCCUCCUGACCCUUUAGCUCACCAGGGCACAGGUCUGGACCUCUCCCCACCCACAGCCCCCUGGCCCUGCUGGUGCCCCUCACUCACCCACCCAUAGCCCCUCCCCCCUAGCCCUGUGGGAGGGGGCCCCCAGCUGCCAGGCCUAUGGGGCCAGGAACCUGGGUCUGCAGACCUCUGCCCCCUGCAGCAGCACCAAAGCCCUGGCUUGCCACCUUUGGGAGGUGGUGGUUGCCAUAGCCAAAGUGGGAAGCCCAGGUCCCCCUUUCCCAUGGGCGGCAUGGCUGGCCCGGAGCCUGUGGAGGUGGUGGGCUUGCGUGGGGGUGGGGCUGGCUCCUUGCUGCUUCUGAUGCUCCUGUGGAGGGAGGGGGGGCACAUGCCCCCCAGAUCUGUGUCCAGGCUGGGGGUGGGCUCCCUGCUGUGGGAUCAGGUUCCUCACUCUACUGCCCUCCUCUGGGGCCUCCACAGCCUGGUGGGUGGGACUGGCAUGGCUGGGCAGACAGGGGAUGCAUGAGGAAUCUCAUUGCAGCUAAUGCAAGCCCCAUGCUGCCCUAAUGAUACAUCCCCUGCUUUUUUCAGAGCAAUGGGGGUGGCAACAUGGGAUUGUGUCCCUUGCUGCUCUGGGGUGAGCAGAGGGCACAUUGCAAGGGCAGCAUGAGCUCACAGUGGCCACAAUGAGCUUUCCCACCCAGACUUCCUCUGCUCUAGCA